rnacentral:rRNA from 1 species
UACAGAGGUCCCAAGCGUUGUUCGGAUUUACUGGGCGUAAAGGGAGCGUAGGUGGCAUUCUAAGUCUGAUGUGAAAGCUCUGAGCUUAACUCAGAAAUGGCAUUAGAUACUAGUUUGCUUGAGGAUUGGAGGGGAGAUUGGAAUUCUUGGUGUAGCAGUGAAAUGCGUAGAUAUCAAGAGGAACACCAGUGGCGAAGGCGAAUCUCUGGACAAUUCAUGACACUGAUGCUCGAAAGCUAGGGGAGCAAACGGG